AGAGUUUGAUCCUGGCUCAGAACGAACGCUGGCGGCGUGCUUAACACAUGCAAGUCGAGUGCGCGUUCCGUAGCAAUACGGAAUGGCGCACGGCGCACGGGUGCGUAACACGUGGGUAAUCUGCCCUCUGAUGGGGAAUAACUCGCCGAAGGGCGAGCUAAUUCCGCAUAAUAUUCCGAGAACCUUGGUUUUUGGACUGGAAGGCGUAAGUCGUCGGAGGAGGAGCCCGCGCACGAUUAGCUAGUUGGUAGGGUAAUGGCCUACCAAGGCUUUGAUCGUUAGCUGGUCUGAGAGGAUGGCCAGCCACACUGGAACUGAGACACGGUCCAGACUCCUACGGGAGGCAGCAGUGGGGAAUCUUGCACAAUGGGCGAAAGCCUGAUGCAGCGACGCCGCGUGGGGGAUGAAGCUUCUCGGAGUGUAAACCCCUUUCGAUCCGGACGAAUGCCCGCAAGGGAGUGACGGUACGGAUAUAAGAAGCCCCGGCUAACUACGUGCCAGCAGCCGCGGUAAU
rnacentral:rRNA from 1 species